AGCUUUUACGUGAUGUAAUAUUCGGAUGUUAACCAUAUACUCUCCGAGAGCGCAAAACCGUGUGGAGAUUUCCGUUGCCUUCCUUCUGAUUAAAGC
rnacentral:snoRNA from 1 species